rnacentral:misc_RNA from 1 species
GAUGAAGAACGUAGCGAAAUGCGAUAAGUAAUGUGAAUUGCAGAAUUCAGUGAAUCAUCGAAUCUUUGAACGCACAUUGCGCCCGCCAGUAUUCUGGCGGGCAUGCCUGUUCGAGCGUCAUUACAACCCUCAGGCCCCCGGGCCUGGCGUUGGGGAUCGGCGGAAGCCCCCUGCGGGCACAACGCCGUCCCCCAAAUACAGUGGCGGUCCCGCCGCAGCUUCCAUUGCGUAGUAGCUAACACCUCGCAACUGGAGAGCGGCGCGGCCACGCCGUAAAACACCCAACUUCUGAAUGUUGACCUCGAAUCAGGUAGGAAUACCCGCUGAACUUAAGCGUAUCAAUAAGCGGAGGA